UACAUGGGGUGCAAACGUUGCUCGGAAUUAUUGGGCGUAAAGCGCACGUAGGCGGUUUGUCGCGUCUGCUGUGAAAAACGCGAGGCUCAACCUCGCGCCUGCAGUGGGGUACGGGCAGACUAGAGUGCGGUAGGGGAGAUUGGAAUUCCUGGUGUAGCGGUGAAAUGCGCAGAGUAAUCGAGGAGGAACACCGGUGGCGAAGGCGGGUCUCUGGGCCGAUGACUGACGCUGGAGGAAGCGAAAGCGUGGGGAGGCGAACAGG
rnacentral:rRNA from 1 species